UACAGAGGGGGUAAGCGUUGUUCGGAAUUACUGGGCGUAAAGGGCGCGUAGGCGGGCGAUCAAGUCGGUGGUGAAAUCCUACAGCUUAACUGUAGAACUGCCUCCGAUACUGGUUGACUCGAGGAAGGUAGGGGCGUGCGGAACAGUUGGUGGAGCGGUGAAAUGCGUUGAUAUCAACUGGAACUCCGGUGGCGAAGGCGGCACGCUGGACCUUUUCUGACGCUGAGGCGCGAAAGCCAGGGGAGCAAACGGG
rnacentral:rRNA from 1 species